rnacentral:misc_RNA from 1 species
UGGUUCUGGCAUCGAUGAAGAACGCAGCGAAAUGCGAUAAGUAAUGCGAAUUGCAGAAUUUCAGUGAGUCAUCGAAUCUUUGAACGCACAUUGCGCCCUUUGGUAUUCCAAAGGGCAUGCCUGUUCGAGCGUCAUUAUCACCCCUCAAGCCCCCGGCUUGGUGUUGGACGGUUUGGCGGAGGCCCCUCGCGGGGUCACUGCCCGUCCCAAAGACAAUGACGGCGGCCUCGUUGGACCCCCGGUACACUGAGUUCUUCACGGGACACGUAUCGGACACAUGGGUUUACGGGACACGGUCUGCCUCCCCUCAGGGAGAGUCUUUUUUCUAAGGUUGACCUCGGAUCAGGUAGGGAUACCCGCUGA